UACGUAGGGGGCAAGCGUUGUCCGGAUUUAUUGGGCGUAAAGAGCGUGUAGGCGGCCGCACAGGUCCGUUGUGAAAACUGGAGGCUUAACCUUCAAACGUCGAUGGAAACCGUGCGGCUAGAGUCCGGAAGAGGAGAAUGGAAUUCCUGGUGUGAGCGGUGAAAUGCGCAGAUAUCAGGAAGAACACCCGUGGCUAAGGCGGUUCUCUAGUACGGUACUGACGCUGAGACGCGAAAGCGUGGGGAGCGAACGGG
rnacentral:rRNA from 1 species